UUUGCCUGAUGGUGUCGACAACUGACCAAGCGGAAGCAAUCUGAACGUUGUUUAUUAAUGAGCAGUAAUAGCAAUAAAUCUGAGAUUUGACAUGGUUUCUGAGUCUGAUGUCAUAUCCUGCAGGGCACUGGAAAGACUUGGCAGGCUUCCCAGCAGUGCAGCCUCCUGGGGCUGAUUCAGCCAAUGUUCCCACCCAGGAAUCCUGGACGUCUGACAGGAAACAGGCCCAACUCUCCCAAGGCCACUAUAAGUCAGCCUCUCCCCUCAACCCCAUGUCUCCCCCUUACCCAAAAACCUCUCCCGGGACCUUUCUUUAUGUUUCUCUCAGACAAACUAUCUUACUAAUAGACAUUCUUCUUCACCACACCCCAUUUUCACCCCCUCUGCCCUCUACCCAGCUUCCCAUCAUAGCCGUGUCUUGCUUGAGCCUUCAAGCAACUGAGCAAUUUUAUUAGCUAAGAGAGCCAUGAUUAAUAGCCAAGCAGUAUUUGCAUACACAACGUCAUGCUUUCAUGUCAAAGCUAGUGUUUUCCUGACCUUGUCAGAGCAUGUUUGGAUUAAAUGCAGCAUUUUGAAUACUUCUGGGAUGUAGACACAAUGGGAAGGCGUCUCUGGACCUGCAGGAGAUCAACCACUGCACUUAGAUUUCAGCUCAGAGUUAAACUUGAACACACAAAAUGGAUUCUUUUCAGUAUUUCAUUUAUUUUAUAAAAAAAAAGGAAUGCAAUUAACAAAACAUUUAUGUACCUACAUUAGUGUUUCAGAUUGUACCAAUUUAACACAGGCAGCGUGCUACUGGACACACAAGGCUAUUGCACACGAGACAUUUCAUACAACACAAAUCAUACAUACUGUACAAAGAUACAUACAUACAUACAUACACACACACAUACAAACAUACAUAGUUAGUCAUGUAUUGUAUCAUACAAAAAAAUCAUAGUGACGCAACACAAUGAAGUGAUGGGUACACAGAUUAAAACACCUCUCCAUCUGAAAAAAAAAAAAAAAAAAAAAAACUGGGGGAAAGCAAACAUCACUGAAGCUGCCAAAGUGCUUUUCACCAUUUCUGCUUGGCCAUCUAAAUGUAAAGGUCAUUUUUUAAAAAAAGCACAGGGAGAGAGAAGAGUUUUAAAUG